rnacentral:miRNA from 1 species
CAUGUGCUCUUUUUCUCCAUC